rnacentral:tRNA from 1 species
GACCGCGUAGCUCAGUUGGAAGAGCAUUGGGCUAGUAUUCCAAAGGUCUUAGGUUCGAAUCCCACCGUGGCCG